AAAUCCACUCCGUCCGCAUCGUCAACGAGUCCUCCUAGCAUCUCACGGAUCACGCCAUCAUCACAGCCGUCCAUCUCGUGAUCGGAUCAAGCUCCCACACAUGUGAAGCAUCAGCGCCUCACAAACCGCGCCCAGCUUCAUCCUCCCAGCGAUCGCGUCCGGCUCCACCCCCUUCCCGUAAUCCCAUUCUUCAAGCGGUGAACAUCCAUGGAUCAAGCUCCCUUCCGAUUUCAAGCCGUGAUCCAAGC
rnacentral:lncRNA from 1 species